UCUUAGAGGGACCGGCGUCUUCGAGCCGCA
rnacentral:sRNA from 1 species